AAAGUGGAAGAAAAUAAAAGAGCAAUGCUACAGAGGGGAAACUGAAAGUGAGAGAUCUGUGUCAGAAGAAAGCAGCAGUAGCAGCAAGUCAUCCUCCAGUGAAAGUAACAGUCUCUAACAACCUUGGCCUGGAGAGAGGAUAGUACCAAAUAAAUCAUCAGAAACUGGCCUAUAUCAGGAAGGAAAAAACGUAAUUUCUCCGUUACCUCUAUUGUCGCUGCUGAGGGUUUAAAUUAUGAAAUAAUAAAUCAUCUGCACCUGAA